rnacentral:SRP_RNA from 1 species
GCCGGGCAUGGUGGCGCAUGCCUGUAAUCCCAGCGGCUAAGGAGGCUGAGACAGGAGGAUCCCAAGUUCAAAGCCAGCUUCAG